AUUGAACGCUGGCGGCAGGCCUAACACAUGCAAGUCGAGCGGAGCGGAGGACGGGUGAGUAAUGCCUAGGAAUUUGCAUGGUAGUGGGGGAUGAGGUAAGGAAACGGGCGCUAAAACCGAAUACUAUCAGAUGAGCCUAGGUCGGAUUGGCUAGUUGGUGGGGUAACGGCCUACCAAGGCGACGAUCCGUAACUGUUCCGAGAGGAUGAUCAGUCACACUGGAACUGAGACACGGUCCAGACUCCUACGGGAGGCAGCAGUGGGGAAUAUUGGACAAUGGGCGAAAGCCUGAUCCAGCCAAGCCGCGUGUGUGAAGAAGGUCUUCGGAUUGUAAAGCACUUUAAGUUGGGAGGCGUUACCAACAGAAUAAGCACCGGCUAACUUCGUGCCAGCCGCCGCGGUAAUAC
rnacentral:rRNA from 1 species